rnacentral:rRNA from 1 species
UACGGGGGGGGCAAGCGUUGUUCGGAAUUACUGGGCGUAAAGGGCUCGUAGGCGGCCAACUAAGUCAGACGUGAAAUCCCUCGGCUUAACCGGGGAACUGCGUCUGAUACUGGAUGGCUUGAGUUUGGGAGAGGGAUGCGGAAUUCCAGGUGUAGCGGUGAAAUGCGUAGAUAUCUGGAGGAACACCGGUGGCGAAGGCGGCAUCCUGAACCAACACUGACGCUGAGGAGCGAAAGCCAGGGGAGCAAACGGG